UUGGGAAGGUGAAAGAAGGCAUGAACAUUG
rnacentral:piRNA from 2 species